UGGGGAGUAGCCAAGCGGUAAGGCAAUAGGCUCUGGACCUAUGAUCGCAGGUUCGAAUCCUGCCUCCCCAG
rfam:Candidatus Portnoybacteria bacterium RIFCSPHIGHO2_12_FTLL_40_11 rifcsphigho2_12_scaffold_5724, whole genome shotgun sequence.